rnacentral:RNase_P_RNA from 1 species
UGUCGCUACUGAAAAGGAGAGGAAAGUCCGGGCAACACAGGGCAUCCCGCUUCCUAACGGGAAGAGGUUCGUGAGGGUCUGACAGUGCAGAAGAAAACAACCGCCCCUUUGGGGUAAGGGUGAGAAGGUGGGGUAAGAGCCUACCAGGUCGGCAGUGAUGUCGAUGCUGUGCACUCCGGGAGUUGAAAGUUCAUGUAAACCGGCGCAUUUAUCCCAAGCUUGUCGAGGGAAAGAGAGAGGGCGGCCCGUCCGAGCCGGAGGGUAGAACGAUAGAGGACAGCGGUGACGCUGCCCGCAGAUAAAUGGCAAGCAUCCCCCAAAAGGGGAAACAGAACCCGGCUUACAGGUUCACUGG